UACGUAGGGUGCAAGCGUUGUCCGGAAUUAUUGGGCGUAAAGGGCUCGUAGGCGGUCCAUCGCGUCGGGAGUGAAAAGCUGGGGCUUAACCCCAGUCCUGCUUCCGAUACGGGUGGACUAGAGGUAGGCGGGAGAACGGAAUUCCUGGUGUAGCGGUGAAAUGCGCAGAUAUCAGGAGGAACACCGGUGGCGAAGGCGGAUCUCUGGGCCAUUACUGACGCUGAGGAGCGAAAGCGUGGGGAGCGAACAGG
rnacentral:rRNA from 1 species